CCUACGGGAGGCAGCAGUGAGGAAUAUUGGUCAAUGGACGAGAGUCUGAACCAGCCCAGUAGCGUGAAGGAUGACUGCCCUAUGGGUUGUAAACUUCUUUUAUAUGGGAAUAAAAUGUUCCACGUGUGGGAUUUUGUAUGUACCAUAUGAAUAAGGAUCGGCUAACUCCGUGCCAGCAGCCGCGGUAAUACGGAGGAUCCGAGCGUUAUCCGGAUUUAUUGGGUUUAAAGGGAGCGUAGGUGGAUUGUUAAGUCAGUUGUGAAAGUUUGCGGCUCAACCGUAAAAUUGCAGUUGAAACUGGCAGUCGUGAGUACAGUAGAGGUGUGCGGAAUUCGUGGUGUAGCGGUGAAAUGCUUAGAUAUCACGAAGAACUCCGAUUGCGAAGGCAGCUCACUGGACUGCAACUGACACUGAGGCUCGAAAGUGUGGGUAUCAAACAGGAUUAGAUACCCCGGUAGUC
rnacentral:rRNA from 1 species